CGCCCAGUGGCGAAACUGUCAAACGCAUCUCCGUAUAAAGCAGACUGUCACGGGUUCGAAUCCCGUCUGGUUGG
rnacentral:tRNA from 1 species